UUAGCUGAGGUGAGGCAGGUUACCCGAGGCUUAGAGGCAGGGUUUGGGUUAAGGUGGCCAGAUUGACAGGGUAAAGCCCAGACAGGGGGGCAGACAGAUGGGCAGACAGACAUAUAGACAAGGCGCUGAGGCGGACGGGGAGGCUGGCACUUUGUGGGACUCUGAAUGGGGCUCUCGUUGGCGUGCCCGCCUACUCCUUGCAGGGAGUGCAGAGCUGUGUGACUGAAUCCGAGCUCCUUCUCUGCCCUUCUCUACAGAGAGGAUAUGUGGACAUACUGCGUACAGCUAGGAGGGAAUCGAGCACAAUGAGCGGCGGAGAUUUCGGCGCUUUACCCCGGAUAGCUGCCUGACUGCGGUGUGUGUGCCAGUGGCCUCAAAGUCUCACUGGGCUCAUUAUUUAGGAAUGGCUUAAUUUUGUUGGUCAGACCUCAAAAUAUCAAGGCCGAGGAAACCUGAGAGGAGGCGAGCUGACAGACCGCACAGGCCUGAGGCCGCCGCCGCGGAGAGGAGGUGACCUGUCAGGCCUAAGUGACUUCCAGGAAGUAUUUUGACGGCUUUCUUUCAUUUGCAACAAUUAAAGUGCGAAGAAAUGAUGGCGCUUGGUUAGUUCACUCUCACGUCAGGUUAGGUUUUCUGUGAAUAUAGAAAGAAAAACAACCAGAAAAAGUAAAAGCAAAAAGUGAUAAAAAGA